GACGAACGCUGGCGGCGUGCUUAACACAUGCAAGUCGAACGAAGAGCGAUGGAAGCUUGCUUCUAUCAAUCUUAGUGGCGAACGGGUGAGUAACGCGUAAUCAACCUGCCCUUCAGAGGGGGACAACAGUUGGAGACGACUGCUAAUACCGCAUACGAUCUAAUCUCGGCAUCGAGGAUAGAUGAAAGGUGGCCUCUACAUGUAAGCUAUCACUGAAGGAGGGGAUUGCGUCUGAUUAGCUAGUUGGAGGGGUAACGGCCCACCAAGGCGAUGAUCAGUAGCCGGUCUGAGAGGAUGAACGGCCACAUUGGGACUGAGACACGGCCCAGACUCCUACGGGAGGCAGCAGUGGGGAAUCUUCCGCAAUGGACGAAAGUCUGACGGAGCAACGCCGCGUGAGUGAUGACGGCCUUCGGGUUGUAAAGCUCUGUUAAUCGGGACGAAAGGCCUUCUUGCGAAUAGAGAGAAGGAUUGACGGUACCGGAAGAGAAAGCCACGGCUAACUACGUG
rnacentral:rRNA from 1 species